rnacentral:sRNA from 1 species
CUUUGAACUGGCUUUCACAUAGUUAAGCACUUGCUAGAGAAAAUCACCCCAUCUAGCAGAUAAGUUUGGUGAUUGUGAUUUUUGUAGUCUCAUCUCCUGUCUCCAUUCUUAUCCUCCUCAAAGCCCUUCUUCCACUCAACUGUCAGAAUGAUUCAAACUGCAAAUCUCAUCAUGUUACUCCAAUGCUAUUUUCAGUGCUAUACGGUUUCUUAAAAUACUGUUGCCUUUCAGACUUAAAAAUGAAUAUGAAGCACCUAGGAAUCUUGUUAAAAUGCAAGUUCUGCUUCAGAAGGUCAGAGGUAGAACCUGAGAUUCUGCAUUUCCAACAAACUUCUUUCACCAUCACAAAGGACAAAUGCAUCCUCUUGAGAGCAGUAGUUUUUGGUCUUUAUUUUGAAAUGACCUACAUUUUAACUCAACCCAGACCUUAUUUUUCUCAUUUUUAUGAAAUAAGCUCAAGGUUUGCCAAUCUAGACCAGAAAUCUCGAACUCCUAAGUAAAACAAUUAUAAUCGCUUAACACCUCUCUUAUCCUGAAGUCCUGGAAUGUCAGAGUUGGAAGAGAUCUUAGAGCUCAUUUUGUUUUAUCUCUUCAUUGUAUGGAUAAAGUGUGGUGCAAAAGAGUGAGUUCUAGGCCAGAGGUAGGCCAAUAAUUUAAUUUUCCCAACUCAUGGGCCAAGGUUCUUUCCACUGCACCAUAAUACUUAUCCCCAAUUUUAAGUUUCCUUGUCUGUCCUUCUAAACCAUCAAUUCACUCAACAACUGCUUAAGUGUAUAUAGUAUGUGCACAUCUGUGCCAUUUGUUGGGUAUGCAAAGUCUAAAAGACAGGGUGCCUGCCCUGGGAUGCUCAUGACCUAAUUAAAAGGCAUCCUUCCUGUCCUUCUCCCCACUUCUCCUGGAUCUUCUCAUCUGUAUCCUUUUCCACGUUUGUAAAUAUAAAUUCAAUAGAAAUAAAAGAAACAGUUUUAUAUAUGGCAAAUCAUGAUGAGCUAUGAAAGAAAGGUGAGUAGGGGGAUUAAAUUUUAAAAUAGAUACAAAAGGAUAAAUGUACCAUUUCUUGAGAGAAAUGGCUUUCAUCUUUAUUUUGAAGGGACCUAUAUUUUGAUUCAAUCCAGUUCCCCCAACUUGCUCACAAUUGUGUAAGUGAAAAAAAACUGUGUCUAAACAAGUGCACUAUUACUUACCCAGAGUAUAUGGUUCUGUUAACUAAGUGUUCUGUUUCUUUUUAAAGCCUGGUUAAUGGCCGGGCACUGUGGCUCACACCUAUAAUCCCAGCACUUUGGGAGGCCGAGGCAGGUGGAUCCCUGAGUUCGGGAGUUCAAGACCAGCCUGACCAACAUGGAGAAACCCCGUCUCUACUAAAAAUACAGAAUUAGUCAGGCGUGGUGGUGGGCGCCUGUAAUCCCAGCUACUCGGGAGGCUGAGGCAGGAGAAUCGCUUGAACCCGGGAGGUGGAGGUUGCAACCCAAAGCUUAUGAAAGAAGAACAAAUGUCACAGGCCCAGCUCUUCACCAGAAGCUUUGAUGAUGGCCUAGGCUUUGAAUACGUGAUGUUCUACAAUGACGUUGAGAAAAGGAUGGUUUGCUUAUUUCAAGGAGGCCCUUACCUGGAAGGACCACCUGGAUUCAUUCAUGGAGGUGCCAUUGCAACUAUGAUUGAUGCUACUGUUGGUAUGUGUGCAAUGAUGGCUGGGGGAAUUGUCAUGACUGCCAAUCUCAACAUCAAUUAUAAAAGACCUAUCCCUCUUUGUUCUGUUGUUAUGAUAAAUAGCCAACUUGAUAAAGUUGAAGGAAGGAAAUUUUUUGUUUCCUGUAAUGUUCAGAGUGUUGAUGAGAAGACCCUAUACUCAGAGGCGACAAGCUUAUUUAUAAAGCUGAAUCCUGCUAAAAGUCUGACAUAAAGAGCUGCUGGUGAACUCCAUCUCAUUCUCUCCCCUCCAGAAGAAGCAGUUGUCCCCCAAAUACUCUGCUCCCUCACUGCUGAAUCCACGUAGGGAGAAGCCUGCCAACAGUGACCUUCCGAAACAGCCUUCUGAAUACAAGGAGGAUUCAGUUUCCAUCUUCUCAACUUUUUAACACAGAAACACUUCCUGCGAGCAUAUCAACAACUCUCAGGCCAGGCGCUGUGGCUCACGCCUACAAUCCCAGCACUUUAGGAGGCCGAGGCAGGCGGAUUGCCUGAGCUCAGGAGUUCAAGAUCAGUCUGGGCAACAUGAUGAAACCCCAUCUCUACUAAAAUACAAAACAUUAGCCAGGCAUGGUGGCGUGCGCCUGUAGUCCCAGCUACUCAGGAGGCUGAGGCAGGAGAAUUGCUUGAACCCAGGAGGCGGAGGUUGCAGUGAGCCAAGAUCAUGCCACAUCACUCCAGCCUGGGCAACAGAACAAGAACCCAUCUAAAAAAAACAAAA